CCUACGGGAGGCUGCAGUGGGGAAUAUUGGACAAUGGGCGAAAGCCUGUUCCAGCCAUGCCGCGUGUGUGAAGAAGGCCUUCGGGUUGUAAAGCACUUUCAGUGGGGAAGAAAGCCUUGGGGCUAAUACCCUCGAGGAAGGACAUCACCCACAGAAGAAGCACCGGCUAACUCCGUGCCAGCAGCCGCGGUAAUACGGAGGGUGCGAGCGUUAAUCGGAAUUACUGGGCGUAAAGCGCGCGUAGGCGGUCUGAUAAGCCGGUUGUGAAAGCCCCGGGCUCAACCUGGGAACGGCAUCCGGAACUGUCAGGCUAGAGUGCAGGAGAGGAAGGUAGAAUUCCCGGUGUAGCGGUGAAAUGCGUAGAGAUCGGGAGGAAUACCAGUGGCGAAGGCGGCCUUCUGGACUGACACUGACGCUGAGGUGCGAAAGCGUGGGUAGCAAACAGGAUUAGAUACCCCAGUAGUC
rnacentral:rRNA from 1 species